GACGUAGGGCGCGAGCGUUGUCCGGAUUUAUUGGGCGUAAAGAGCUCGUAGGCGGCUUGUCGCGUCGUCCGUGAAAACCUGGGGCUCAACUCCAGGCUUGCAGUCGAUACGGGCAGGCUCGAGUUCGGUAGGGGAGACUGGAAUUCCUGGUGUAGCGGUGAAAUGCGCAGAUAUCAGGAGGAACACCGGUGGCGAAGGCGGGUCUCUGGGCCGAUACUGACGCUGAGGAGCGAAAGCGUGGGGAGCGAACAGG
rnacentral:rRNA from 1 species